rnacentral:rRNA from 1 species
GAUGAACGCUGGCGGCGUGCCUAAUACAUGCAAGUCGAACGCUGAAGUAGGAACUUGCUCUUCUGGAUGAGUUGCGAACGGGUGAGUAACGCGUAUGUAUCCUGCCUGGUAGCGGGGGAUAACUCUUGGAAACGAUAGCUAAUACCGCAUGACAACAGUUAUUGCAUGAUAAUUGUUGAAAAGUGGCAACUGCUCCGCUACCAGAUGGACCUGCGUUGUAUUAGCUAGUUGGUGAGGUAACGGCUCACCAAGGCGACGAUACAUAGCCGACCUGAGAGGGUGAUCGGCCACACUGGGACUGAGACACGGCCCAGACUCCUACGGGAGGAAGCAGUAGGGAAACUUCGGCAAUGGACGGCAGUCUGAACGAGCAAAGACGGGUGAGUGAAGAAGGGUUUCGGAUCGGAAAGAUCUGUUGUAAGAGAAGAACGAGUGUGAGAGUUGAAAGUUCACACUGUGACGGUACCUUACCAGAAAGGGACGGCUAACUACGUG